rnacentral:rRNA from 1 species
AACCAGACUCCUACGGGAGGCAGCAGUGGGGGAUAUUGCACAAUGGGGGGAACCCUGAUGCAGCGACGCCGCGUGAAGGAUGAAGUAUUUCGGUAUGUAAACUUCUAUCAGCAGGGAAGAAAAUGACGGUACCUGACUAAGAAGCCCCGGCUAACUACGUGCCAGCAGCCGCGGUAAUACGUAGGGGGCAAGCGUUAUCCGGAUUCACUGGGUGUAAAGGGAGCGUAGACGGCGACGCAAGUCUGGAGUGAAAGCCCGGGGCCCAACCCCGGGACUGCUCUGGAAACAGCGGCGCUGGAGUACGGGAGGGGCAGGCGGAAUUCCUGGUGUAGCGGUGAAAUGCGUAGAUAUCAGGAGGAACACCGGCGGCGAAGGCGGCCUGCUGGACUGCGACUGACGUUGAGGCCCGAAAGCGUGGGGAGCAAACAGGAUUAGAUACCCUGGUACA